rnacentral:lncRNA from 1 species
GGCAUCAGAGGGUUUUUAACUUCCUAAUUUUUACGUCAGAAUCUCAAUCCCUAGCCCUACACCCCUGGGGCCUGGGGUCUCACGCACAUUAGAGUCCCCUCGCCCGCGCCUCGCACCGCGGAUUGACGUCUCAAGACCCAUCUUGCCCGGGAGAGAAGCCCAGAGGAGGAAAGCCCAGGAGUCAGGAAUGACUCUUUCUCAGGUAAAGUCGUAUCUUGGUUCGUUGUUCUGUCCUGUGUCCUCACCUCCACGUGGCCGUGCUCAUCACAC